UUUAAGCGGUGGAGCCCGGGAAUAGAACCCAGGUCCUCCGCCUCCCGGGCCCCGUGUUCUUUCCACCAGGCCACCCGGCUUCCCUGCCGUUUUAGUCGUCAGUGAUUUCUCCUCGAUGCGGAGAUUAAGGGGCAACCGUUGGAGGCCUUUGAGGAGCGGAGAGAUGCAGAGCAGCAUUUUGCAAAAGUAAACAGGCCGCCAGACUGCGGUGUGAACUGGAAUCAAGGGAGAUCAGCGAGGAGGCUGACGCGGUCCUCGACGUAAGCGCUCGGACCCGAUGCCGUGGUGGUCGGGAUGGAGAAGAUGGGGAGAACUGUAGAAAUGUCGCGGAGGAAAAACGGGCGACGGACUGGGAGAGUUGAAAGGGAAGAGUCGGGGAGGGUGCCGGGGUUACAGGCCUCGGAGACGGGGAGUGAAGUUACGUUGCCAACUUUAAGGGGGCGGUUAGAUGGGGACGGUUUGGGAGGGAUGACGAGUUCGGUUUUGGACGGGUUGAACUCGAAGCCGGGGAAGCGCGAGAAUCCCGAGGAGGCGAAAGGUCGGGGCUGGUUAGAUAGAUCUGGGCGUCAACUGGCUCGGGGUGGCGUUGGAAGCCGGGGAAGCAGAUGAACCCGCCACGGGAGUAACGUUAAGCCGAGAAGCGGAUCCAGAACAGAGCCUUGCCGGGGACAUCUGGAGUUGAGUGGUGAGAGCUGGAGGGAGCGAUGGCGAGAGAGACCGAGAAGGAUCGGCCCGAGAGGUUCAAGAGAUCCUGGGUCAAACUGAAGAACGUUGGGAACAGCUAGGGAGCUUGAAGACCGGCAGGGUGCCAGGAAUUGUAGAAGAUAUGUGGAGUGGGCAGAAAUCUGAUGCAGAGAAGAUCCGGUAGACUGUAAGCUCGAUGAGGGCAGGGCUUGUUUCUACCAAUUCUGCUGCAUUGUAUUUUCCCCACCGCCUAAAACAGUGCUCUGCACACCAAAAGCGCUCAGUAAAUGCCAUUGGUUGGUCGAUUCAUCCGAUGCCUACCUCUGAAGGCCGACAUAGGACAGACUCCGUUACCAAGACCUGCCGGUUUCACCUCUACAGUAUCGCCAAGAUCCGCCCUCUCCUCUCCACCCAAACGGCUAC